CACAUCUGAAAAGCGGACCGCCCCCGACGGCGGUCCCACCCAAGGUGCAAGCCCUGAUCGCCGUACUCCGGUGGCCGUGGCGAACCUCUCAGGUUCCGAUGACAGAUGGGGAGGA
rnacentral:ncRNA from 1 species